UACGUAGGGGGCUAGCGUUAUCCGGAAUUACUGGGCGUAAAGGGUGCGUAGGUGGUUUCUUAAGUCAGAGGUGAAAGGCUACGACUCAACCGUAGUAAGCCUUUGAAACUGGGGAACUUGAGUGCAGGAGAGGAGAGUGGAAUUCCUAGUGUAGCGGUGAAAUGCGUAGAUAUUAGGAGGAACACCAGUUGCGAAGGCGGCUCUCUGGACUGUAACUGACACUGAGGCACGAAAGCGUGGGGAGCAAACAGG
rnacentral:rRNA from 1 species